GCUGGGCAUGUUGGCACAUGCCUGUAAUUCCAGAGGCUCAGGAGACUGAGGUAGGAGGAUCGCAAGUUCAAAGCCAGGCUCAACAAUCUAGAGAGGCCCUAAGCAACUUAGUGAGACCCUGUCUCUA
rnacentral:sRNA from 1 species